GACGAACGCUGGCGGCGUGCCUAAUACAUGCAAGUUGAGCGCUGAAGGUUGGUACUUGUACCCACUGGAUGAGCAGCGAACGGGUGAGUAACGCGUGGGGAAUCUGCCUUUGAGCGGGGGACAACAUUUGGAAACGAAUGCUAAUACCGCAUAAAAUCUUUAAACACAAGUUUUAAGUUUGAAAGAUGCAAUUGCAUCACUCAAAGAUGAUCCCGCGUUGUAUUAGCUAGUUGGUGAGGUAAAGGCUCACCAAGGCGAUGAUACAUAGCCGACCUGAGAGGGUGAGCGGCCACGUUGGGACGGGGACACGACCCAAACUCCUGCGGGAGGCAGCAGUAGGGAAUCUUCGGCAAUGGACGAAAGUCGGACCGAGCAACGCCGCGUGAGUGAAGAAGGUUUUCGGAUCGUAAAACUCUGUUAGUAGAGAAGAUCGUAGGUGAGAGUGGAAAGCUAAGCAAGUGACGGUAACUACCCAGAAAGCGACGGCUAACUACGUG
rnacentral:rRNA from 1 species